AUACGGAGGGUGCAAGCGUUGUUCGGAAUCACUGGGCGUAAAGGGCGCGCAGGCGGUUUGGUAAGUCAGAUGUGAAAGCCCACGGCUCAACCGUGGAAGUGCAUUUGAAACUGUGAGACUUGAGUACUAGAGGGGAAAGUGGAAUUCCCGGUGUAGAGGUGAAAUUCGUAGAUAUCGGGAGGAAUACCGGUGGCGAAGGCGACUUUCUGGCUAGAUACUGACGCUGAGGCGCGAAAGCGUGGGGAGCAAACAGGAUUAGAAACCCUAGUAGUCC
rnacentral:rRNA from 1 species